rnacentral:rRNA from 1 species
AACGAACGCUGGCGGCAUGCCUAACACAUGCAAGUCGAACGAAGGCUUCGGCCUUAGUGGCGCACGGGUGCGUAACGCGUGGGAAUCUGCCCCUCGGUUCGGAAUAACAGUUAGAAAUGACUGCUAAUACCGGAUGAUGACUUCGGUCCAAAGAUUUAUCGCCGAGGGAUGAGCCCGCGUAAGAUUAGGUAGUUGGUGGGGUAAAGGCCUACCAAGCCUACGAUCUUUAGCUGGUCUGAGAGGAUGAUCAGCCACACUGGGACUGAGACACGGCCCAGACUCCGACGGGAGGCAGCAGUGGGGAAUAUUGGACAAUGGGCGAAAGCCUGAUCCAGCAAUGCCGCGUGAGUGAUGAAGGCCUUAGGGUUGUAAAGCUCUUUUACCAGGGAUGAUAAUGACAGUACCUGGAGAAUAAGCUCCGGCUAACUCCGUGCCAGCCGCCGCAGUAA